rnacentral:rRNA from 1 species
CAGCAGCCGCGGUAAUACGAAGGGUGCAAGCGUUAAUCGGAAUUACUGGGCGUAAAGCGUGCGUAGGCGGUUUGUUAAGUCUGUGGUGAAAUCCCCGGGCUCAACCUGGGAAUGGCAAUGGAUACUGGCAAGCUAGAGUGUGUCAGAGGAUGGUGGAAUUCCCGGCGUAGCGGUGAAAUGCGUAGAGAUCGGGAGGAACAUCAGUGGCGAAGGCGGCCAUCUGGGACAACACUGACGCUGAGGCACGAAAGCGUGGGGAGCAAACAGGAUUAGAUACCCCCGUAGUCCCUGUCUCUUAUAC